rnacentral:rRNA from 1 species
AUUAGAUACCCUGGUAGUCCAUGCCGUAAACGAUGAGUGCUAGGUGUUGGAGGGUUUCCGCCCUUCAGUGCCGGAGCUAACGCAUUAAGCACUCCGCCUGGGGAGUACGACCGCAAGGUUGAAACUCAAAGGAAUUGACGGGGGCCCGCACAAGCGGUGGAGCAUGUGGUUUAAUUCGAAGCUACGCGAAGAACCUUACCAGGUCUUGACAUCUUGCGCUAACCUUAGAGAUAAGGCGUUCCCUUCGGGGACGCAAUGACAGGUGGUGCAUGGUCGUCGUCAGCUCGUGUCGUGAGAUGUUGGGU